rnacentral:lncRNA from 1 species
GGGGACUCAUAUACAAAAUAUGAUUUUAUGUAAUGCUAAAAAAGAGACUGCGAUAUGAAUAAAUGCCGUUCAGAUGUUCUAGAUUACCGGACAUGUAGUAUUUUCUGACUAGAUAACAUGCUUUACAUAUUUUUACUCGGUAGUGAUAAUUUCAAGUAGAGCAUUUUUUUUUAAACGUUGUUGUGACAGUGUUUUUCGGGGCUUUGAUUUUGAUUAUGAUGUCGAAGUUCUCAUUGAAUUCGUUCUUUUAAAUUGGGAAUCAAUGUUUUUAAAGCAUUUUCCAAGUUUGUUUUACAUAAUGAUAUUUGAUAUAAAGACUUUGAUGACAAAUAAUCUCGCUAUCGAUCGAUUCUCACCUGUUAUGCCGCAAAGGGCUUAUAUUUUUCCUUCAGUGUCUACAAGCUGAAAUGGCUUUUUCCAAGGUCUACUCGAUUUGAAAAUGGUGCCGAUUGCGUAAUACAAAUAUCACAUCACAAAGCCCUAACGUUCCUUCUUCCAAAUAAUAUACAAUUUUUAUAUUUUAUUUACUUGUGGGUAUCCGAAAUAAGGAGGAACCCUCAAAAACAAUAUAAGUAUGUUACCCGUCUACACGCAAAAACAUAU